UACAGAGGGGGCAAGCGUUGUUCGGAAUUACUGGGCGUAAAGCGCGCGUAGGUGGUUUGUUAAGUUGGAUGUGAAAGCCCCGGGCUCAACCUGGGAACUGCAUUCAAAACUGACAAGCUAGAGUAUGGUAGAGGGUGGUGGAAUUUCCUGUGUAGCGGUGAAAUGCGUAGAUAUAGGAAGGAACACCAGUGGCGAAGGCGACCACCUGGACUGAUACUGACACUGAGGUGCGAAAGCGUGGGGAGCAAACAGG
rnacentral:rRNA from 1 species